AACCCUCAAGAACUCUCCCAAUCAUCAUCAAUGCCUAUUUUUCUUGUCACUUUCUCCGUGCCCUACCAGUUUUCUUCACACACUGUGAAACUCGCACUCUCACCAGUUCGUUGCAAAAUACUCUUGGGUGUUGAUGGUUUUGCUUUGUGUUUUGAGUUGGGAUUCUGGUGGGCAGCUUGGAUUUAUACUUUUCCAAAGAAUGCAAAGAUGCUCUUGCAGCUUAAUUUGUUCUUGUUAGUAUGAAUUUCGAAGAAAGGGAACCAUUAACCGGAGUUGGUAUUCUUUUCGGCUUCUUCAUUGGGGCAUCCUUUCCGGUCUGGAUAGCUAGCUGAUCUAACUGAAGAAGAUAGCUAGCGAAUCGUUGGCACUUGUAUUUUCCUCCUUGACACUAUUCUUUUAACCUCUCAUUUCUGAAUUGCCAUUGUAUGUAAGCUUGCAUGAUGAGAUUGUGCUUUGUCUGUAGGUUCGUUUGGUGCCAAACAUCGUGGUUCAAUUAUUGCAGUUAUGAUGUGUGCUGGUUCUAUAUAAUCCUUGUGAUCGCAUUUUGAUUUCUACAUCUUCCAUCAUCUUAAAGACCUCUUUUGCUUAUUUGCUAAUGGGUCUACAAAAGCACAUUCAGGUCAACUGGACCAUUGUCUUUCCUUCACGAUCCUAUGACGUUCACUUUAUAAAGAAGGUCUACAAAAGCACAUUCAGGUCAACUGGACCAUUGUCUUUCCUGGACGAUCCUAUGACGUUCACUUUAUAAAGAAGGCCUACAAAAGCACAUUCAGGUCAACUGGACCAUUGUCUUUCCUGGACGAUCCUAUGACUUUCACUUUAUAAAGAAGGGUGUUCCUCGUGGUUCAAAAAUGCAGUGUUCUGAUGAAUCAAUUGGAUAUAAGAUUUCUACUACAACGUGAGGUACGUUCACAAACUAAUUGAUAACUUCAACAACCAUAACCUCCCCUGUUUAUGCUUCUCCUUCACCGACUUGACCAUCUACGCCAACAUGUAACGACUUGCGAAUCAAAAGGACCAUUCUGCCCUCCCUACUUCUUGAGUUCGUAAAAUAUAUAUGUGGCUUACUAUUACCUGCCCGCCAUACAUCCACCUUGUCUCCAACUCCAUAUGUUUUUAUUUAACUACGGUGGAAUAAUCUUGCAUGAAUGACAUGACCCAAUAGCUCUCCGUAAUUGAGAAACAUGAAACACCUGAUGGAUCUUAGUUUUUGGCUUUUUGCUGCCACCACUACUCUCUCUGUGCACAAGACUUGAAAUGGUCCAUAAACCGGGCUGCUAGCUUCACUUGAAACACCUGAUGGAUCUUAGUUUUGUGGUGUCUUGUCGAUUUUUUUUGUUUAUCGUAGAGUAAGCUAGCAUUUUGUAGGUUGUUUUUCUGUGAUUUUACUUCGUUUACCAUCCUAUAUACUCCUGCCUUGUCCAUCGAUGGGAGUUACGUGGCUAAAGGUGACCGAGUUUACGGGUGUUGGGUCAUUCCGAGUCCCAAGGUCUUGGAUUUAGCUUUUGACUUCCAUUUAUCCAUUCAUUAUGGUUUUUUUAGAAUGGUUUUGAGAUUCAAUUGUCCAUGGAUUAUUUGAUCUUUCUGAGUUCAAGGUCAUGGAUUUACCUUUCUACUUCCAUUUAACCAUUGAUUGUCGUUUCUUUCUAAUGGUUUUGAGAAUUGAUUAAUUUUAAUUUGUCUACAGAUUGUAGUAUUUAGUUUUGUGGUGCGUUUCCCAUUUUUGUUGUUUGUCGUAAAGUAAAUUAGUAGGUGAGGAGGGGUGUGAGUUUAUUUGUUGCAUU